rnacentral:rRNA from 1 species
UGGGAAUAUUGCACAAUGGGCGCAAGCCUGAUGCAGCGACGUCGCGUGGAGGAUGAAGGUUUUCGGAUUGUAAACUCCUGUUAAACGGGAAGAAAGAACUUUAGCUAAUAACUAAGGGAGAUGACGUUACCGUUAAAGAAAGCACCGGCUAACUUCGUGCCAGCAGCCGCGGUAAUACGAAGGGUGCGAGCGUUAUUCGGAAUAACUGGGCGUAAAGGGCGCGUAGGCGGUUUUCUAAGUUGACGGUUAA